UGCAAGUCGAGCGGAAUGAUGAAGAAGCUUGCUUCUUCUGAUUUUAGCGGCGGACGGGUGAGUAACACGUGGGCAACCUACCUUGUAGAUUGGGAUAACUCCGGGAAACCGGGGCUAAUACCGAAUAAUCCAUUUUGCUUCAUGGCAGAAUGUUGAAAGACGGUGUCGGCUGUCACUAUGAGAUGGGCCCGCGGCGUAUUAGCUAGUUGGUAGGGUAAUGGCCUACCAAGGCGACAAUACGUAGCCGACAUGAGAGGGUGAUCGGCCACACUGGGACUGAGACACGGCCCAGACUCCUACAGGAGGCAGCACUAGGGAAUCUUCCACAAUGGACGAAAGUCUGAUGGAGCAACGCCGCGCGAGUGAAGAAGGUGUUCGGAUCGUAAAACUCUGUUGGUAAGGGAAAGAACACGUACGAAGAGUAACUGCUCGUUACCUUGACAGGUACCUUAUUAGAAAGCCACGGCUAACUACAUGCCAGCAGCCGCGCUAAUACGUAUGUGGCAAGCGUUGUCCGGAAUUAUAGGGCGUAAAGCGCGCGCACGCGGUCCUUUAAGUCUGAUAUGAAAGCCCACGGCUCAACCGUGGAGGGUCAUUGGAAACUGGGGGACUUGAGUACAG
rnacentral:rRNA from 1 species